rnacentral:rRNA from 1 species
AGAUGGGAAGAACUUUGAAAAGAGAGUGAAAAAGGGCUUGAAAUUGUUAAGAGGAGAAGUGAUUGGAGCAUAUCAUACGGGGCGGGGUCCCAGAGCCGGGGCUUGCCCUGGCUUGCACCAUCCCGUCCCGUUGGUCAGCAUCGAUUGUGCGUGGGGGAGAAUGCUUUGGCUGUUGAUGGCUCCGGCUUGAUCGGCCCUUGUGAAACCCCGGGCGUGAUCGAGGCAGAAAGUCCACGCUUGGCGGCCGGCCCCGAGCCCUGGUCUGGCGCGUCGUCCCACAUUCUUAUGUAUGGCGGCGCGUCGGGCUUGAUGCUAGGGAGCGCUGGACCUGUGGACUCAAGAUGCUGGCACAAAUGGCUUCAAUCAGCCCGUCUUGAAACACGGACCAAGGAGUCUAACACGUAUGCGAGUAGUAAGGUGGCAAACCUUGGAUGCGCAAUGAAAGUGAACGUAGGUGGGAUCCGCAAGGUGCACCAUCGACCGACCAGGAUCUUCUGUGAAAGGUUUGAGUAAGAGCAUAUUUGUUGGGACCCGAAAGAUGGUGAACUAUGCCUGAAUAGGGUGAAGCCGGAGGAAACUCCGGUGGAGGCUCGUAGCGGUACUGACGUGCAAAUCGUUCGUCAAAUUUGGGUAUAGGGGCGAAAGACUAAUCGAACCAUCUAGUAGCUGG